GCAUAUGAAAUGCAGCUCUGCCUCAAAUUCUCACAUUGCACACGAACAUCAACUCUCUUAUCAGUGAACAACAGCUUGCAGCCAAGGUCUCCUGCAAAUGAACGGAGCACACCGAACAAUCGCCGCCCAAACAAACAGGAACUCCA